UACGUAGGCAGCAAGCGUUGUUCGGAGUUACUGGGCGUAAAGGGUGUGUAGGCGGUUGUUUAAGUUUGGUGUGAAAUCUCCCGGCUCAACUGGGAGGGUGCGCCGAAUACUGAAUGACUCGAGUGCGGGAGAGGAAAGUGGAAUUCCUGGUGUAGCGGUGAAAUGCGUAGAUAUCAGGAGGAACACCGGUGGUGUAGACGGCUUUCUGGACCGUAACUGACGCUGAGACACGAAAGCGUGGGUAGCAAACGGG
rnacentral:rRNA from 1 species